rnacentral:rRNA from 1 species
UGGGGAAUUUUGGACAAUGGGGGAAACCCUGAUCCAGCCAUCCCGCGUGUGCGAUGAAGGCCUUCGGGUUGUAAAGCACUUUUGGCAGGAAAGAAACGUCGCGGGUUAAUACCCCGCGAAACUGACGGUACCUGCAGAAUAAGCACCGGCUAACUACGUGCCAGCAGCCGCGGUAAUACGUAGGGUGCAAGCGUUAAUCGGAAUUACUGGGCGUAAAGCGUGCGCAGGCGGUUCGGAUAGAAAGAUGUGAAAUCCCAGAGCUUAACUUUGGAACCGCAUUUUUUAACUACCGGGCUAGAGUGUGUCAGAGGGAGGUGGAAUUCCGCGUGUAGCAGUGAAAUGCGUAGAUAUGCGGAGGAACACCGAUGGCGAAGGCAGCCUCCUGGGAUAACACUGACGCUCAUGCACGAAAGCGUGGGGAGCAAACAGGAUUAGAUACCCUGGUAGUCCACGCCCUAAACGAUGUCAACUAGCUGUUGGGGGCCUUCGGGCCUUGGUAGCGCAGCUAACGCGUGAAGUUGACCGCCUGGGGAGUACGGUCGCAAGAUUAAAACUCAAAGGAAUUGACGGGGUCAUAGCUGUUUCCUG